rnacentral:rRNA from 1 species
GAAAUGCGAUAAGUAAUGUGAAUUGCAGAAUUCAGUGAAUCAUCGAAUCUUUGAACGCACCUUGCGCUCCUUGGUAUUCCGAGGAGCAUGCCUGUUUGAGUGUCAUUAAAUUCUCAACUCCUCCAGCUUUUGUUAAGUUGGCUUUGGAGCUUGGAUUGUGGAGGUUUGCUGGCCCUUCUAUUGACUGGGUUCAGCUCCUCUGAAAUACAUUAGCGGAACCGUUUGCAAUCCGCCACAGGUGUGAUAAUUAUCUACGCCAGUGGGUUGCUCUCUGUGUUCGGCUGCCAAUCGUCUCUGCUUCAAGAGACAAUUUUCUGAAUGCUUGACCUCAAAUCAGGUAGGACUACCCGCUGAACUUAA